rnacentral:rRNA from 1 species
GAAGUAAAAGUCGUAACAAGGUCUCCGUUGGUGAACCAGCGGAGGGGAUCAUUACUGAGUUACCGCUCUAUAAACCCUUUUGUGAACAUACCUACAACUGUUGCUUCGGGCGGGGUAGGCCGUCCCCCUGAAAAGGACGCCUCCCGGCCCGGACCGGACCCCCCGCGGGACCGGACCCGGCGCCCGCCGGAGGAUAACCAAACUCUAUUGUAACGACGUUUCUUCUGAGUGGCAUAAGCAAAAUAAUCAAAACUUUUAACAACGGAUCUCUUGGUUCUGGCAUCGAUGAAGAACGCAGCGAAAUGCGAUAAGUAAUGUGAAUUGCAGAAUUCAGUGAAUCAUCGAAUCUUUGAACGCACAUUGCGCCCGCCAGCAUUCUGGCGGGCAUGCCUGUUCGAGCGUCAUUUCAACCCUCAAGCUCUGCUUGGUGUUGGGGCUCUACGGUCGACGUAGGCCCUCAAAGGUAGUGGCGGACCCUCCCGGAGCCUCCUUUGCGUAGUAACAUUUCGUCUCGCACUGGGAUCCGGAGGGACUCUUGCCGUAAACCCCCCAAUUUUCCAAAAGGUUGACCUCGGAUCAGGGGUACGGAAUACCCGCUGAACUUAAGCAUAU